CGGAAGUAGCUCAGCUGGUAGAGCGCCUCGUUGCCAACGAGAAGGUCGCGGGUUCGAAUCCCGUUUUCCG
rnacentral:tRNA from 1 species